UUUUUUCAAUCAACAACACCAACAAAAAUCAUCAUUGAAAAAUUACAAUUUAUAGAUUUGAAUAAUUACAUUCAAAUAAAUAAUUAUAUUCAACAGUAAAAAAUAUCAUUGAAGCAUUCACUCAUCAUCGACGAUCUCUCACCAUAAGGCACAUCGACAACAGGUCUCCAUCUCUAAUGGCAUCGAGGCGAACUCAGUGAAUGGUCUUCUGAUGGUUUCGAGAUGAGGAUGUGUUGGGGUCUCUGUCUAAUGGGUCGAGUGAACAUUGGUAGUACGAUGCACUGAUCAAAGAGAACAACGUGAUGAAGACCAAAAACAGAAAUUAGAUGCAGUUUAGCCUUUACAUGUAGAAAGAUCAAAGAGUGCAAAGGAGGAGGAUGAGCAAGAUGGGGAAGGACGAUUGCUAGAGACUAAAGGUGUCUCUAUGGAAAAG
rnacentral:misc_RNA from 1 species